CAGUAGCCGCGGGAAUACGUAGGGUGCGAGCGUUAAUCGGAAUUACUGGGCGUAAAGCGUGCGCAGGCGGUUUUGUAAGACAGGCGUGAAAUCCCCGGGCUCAACCUGGGAAUGGCGCUUGUGACUGCAAAGCUAGAGUGCGGCAGAGGGGGAUGGAAUUCCGCGUGUAGCAGUGAAAUGCGUAGAUAUGCGGAGGAACACCGAUGGCGAAGGCAAUCCCCUGGGCCUGCACUGACGCUCAUGCACGAAAGCGUGGGGAGCAAACAGGAUUAGAUACCCCCGUAGCCCUGUCUCUUAUACC
rnacentral:rRNA from 1 species